CUCAAUGAUAACUUGGCAGGAGAAGGGGGAAGCGGCCGGGUUUUUCCUGGGCUCGUUACUGGGGUGACAUUCAGUGCCGGGCGAGCUUCGCCGGUCACCGCCAAGUCUCGCCUGGAAAACAAACCAAACCAAACAAAAAGAGAAACCAACCCCCUUUACCCUCCCCCAGAAUAAAAUCCCAACCUGCUACCGAAGGGGGGGGCGACCCAGUGGGGCGGUCGACGGGACACCUCGCCCAAGGGAUGCGGGGAUACUCAGAGGCACGCAGGAGCAGCUGCCGAGCAGCCGCGGGAUGGGGAAACUGGUUGAAGGGGUGUGGGGGGGUGUAUCUCCGAAUAUAUAUAUUAAAAGGCCCCCGAAACGCAGGAGGCUGCGUAAACUGCUCCUAGGCAAGGAGUGAGGAAGGAUGCUGCCAUGCAGGCCUAGCGCCACACGGUAGCAUCCCCCCGCCCCGAGUCUCCUCCAAGCCUCUGCAGGGGAAGCUGGGGGUGAAGGGGAGUGCGGAACACGGACCUCACUCUCCGCACAGACCCCGGGUUCAAUUCGGGUACCCCCGCUGCGCGCAGCGGCCGCUCGGCAGCACAAUGGCGUCGCUGCUAAGGACUGGCGCAAACCCUGGCGGGAUUUACUCGCGGGUGCUUAAACCAUCUCCUCCUACCUCCGCUGCUGCGGAGCAGCUAUUUCCGAAAGCUGGGCGGUUUUAUGUUAAAAGAGCGGGCGAGCGCUGGCCUGCAGUUAGCACCGGGGUUGGUGUGAGCGGUGGUAGGGACUGGCAAGGCACCUGCAAUUCCUUACCUCGAUUUUCUUGUACUCUUAGGCAAAUCCUCUAAGUCUACACAAAUGGCCCUGUUAAAUUCAGGGGACCUUCUACAUGUUGGGUUUAACCCACGUGCAGAAGUAUUUCCACGUGUAGGCCUCACUUAAAAACAAACUACCCAUGGUCGCUUCGGUUUGAGUGCCUCUUGAGCUAGAGAUCAGCUGCUGCCUACACACACUGUUAAUAGCCCAAACUGCUGAAACACCAUGACACCCCGCACAGUGACCACAGCGUCCCAGCAGCACCCAAGGUCAAGUUUACCUCCUUUGCGCUGAGUUGUGCACCACCUACUUUAAUAACUAGUUACAGCGCUGGGGAUACGCAUGUAACUAGUUCAUGAAGGAACACAUGUAGCAGGGCUGAAAUGAAAUUAUUCUUCUGCGACUGCCUCUGUUCAGCCUUAAUAUUACCAUUAGCACUUUCAUUUUCCUCAUUUAAAUACAAUAAAAGGAAAAUUGCCUUUGCUUAAUAUUGCUGCUAAUCAGGUGUUGCUAUUCCAGUUGUUAGGUAAUAAAGUCAGAGAGAAGUUAGUGUGCACCUUUUCUGUUGCUGGACUCUGCUCUCACUGGCACCUUGUUUUAAAUGAUGAGAUCACCUAUUGCAGCUGGAAAAACAGUUGGGGGAAAAAGGAAGUCCCUCUCUGAGUAUGGUACAGUCCAAAUAUCGUUUUAAUGAGCCUGAAAGUGAAAGCACUUUUUUCUUUCUUUCUUUGUUUUGUUUUAACCCAAGCUACUUAAGAUGCUUUCUGGCUUGGCUAGAAAGACAAGUCUGUUUAAUGUUUCUGUUUUGGACUUGGUUGGAACUGCUUUUAAGCAAAAUUCUUACCUGUCUUAACUAUAUUGUCUCAGCAGAGCACAAAGUACAUUACUGAUACAUAUUUUUGGUAGACUUGAAAAGCAUUUUGUACAGCUUGAUCAUUGUCUGUAUUUCGUCAUUAUUUUUUAAGUGAGGCUCUUCCGAUUGAUGUGGGCAAUUGCUUUGAAAGGAUGAAGGGUAUGGUGUAGCUACCCGAGAUGCUACUUGCAAAUAUUCCAUACCUCGGCUAAGAGGGAGAUUUUUAGUUGUGAUUGUUACACUUUUGAAAGUGAAUUAGUUAAUCAAAUUGCUAUUUUUGGAAUGCACUUAAAAGAACAUUAAAAUGCAUAAAUUUCAUUAAAAUAAAUGAGCAGAUAGGCAACAAAACAAGUAUUAGUCAAAUAAGAUCUCACCCAUGGAGCCAAAUUCAGCCCUGGUGACAUCAACUGAGUUGUGCUUGUCUACAGCAUAUUUAAUUUGGCUUCUGCAGUCACACAGCUGACACUAUGUGGUUGUCAAAUGUGUGUAUAUUAAAAAUGGGUGAGCCAUGCUCCUCCAACAUAAUUAACCUCUGAAAUUCACCUGGUUUCCAUUUAGCUCAGCUGUGCCAUCCUAUCGCAUAUGCAAUUUUUGGUGCUCAUAAACCCCAGAGACGCAGAGAGACAUCCCCAACCCUGGUAUUAGUCUAAGGGACAUGAGUUUUCUCUGAAGCGAGGGUGCAAUAAGGUGGAUUUCAGCAGAGGCUCUUCACAAUGGGCCGCAUAUAGGCUUCAGUUAAAAGGCUGCACUAAAGUCUCUCCUACCAUCUUUCAUUACUGUUGUUACUCAUGCCAGUGAGAGUAAAGGAAAGGUUGGUAUGUCUAUAAUCACACAUUCAUUUGCUAUGUAGAUAUAUCCUAAGAGCCUCUCCGCACAGGAAAAUUAUUCAGGAAUAAGGUUGGAUGUGAAUGUAAAGCAGAAUGUGCUCAGAUAGCUUGUUCAUUCUGGAAUGACCGAGCUCUUUCCUGGUUUCACUUAAUCCACUUUCAAAAUGGAUUAAGAUAAUUCAAGAAAGGAAAUUCUUCUGCUGGUACAAUAUUUGUCUACACAUGGGUUUAGUCAUUACUGCAGUGUACCUAAUAGGUGUUUUGGAAUGAUACAGUGCAUAGACAAGCUCAGAGUCCCACAAGUGAAAAAAAACAGAAUUUAGUCUUUCUGUAUAACAUGAGGUUAAUUUAGCCCAGACUUUUACCUGCUUCUUUCCUUGUGAAGGAUAUUUAAUUCAUUACAUGUUUUUAGCAAAAAAUCCUACAACAGCUCUGUAUUUAUGCUCAAUUCCAGGAUAGCAAUGCCAUGUGCCCUCUAAAAUAAACCAUCAGUACCUUCUCAACUGCCUUGAAGUUGACAAUAGAUUCAUUGCUGGAGAAAACACCAGCUUCUCAAUGCUCAAUUUGUGAUUACAAGCAUGGCUUUGCUGUCCUGUGUUGGUCUUGGCUGAGGAUAUAGAGAGUGGAUUUCACAUAUGCCUCCCUCGCACCAAACCUGCUUAUUUAAUGAGAAGCUUCCUGGUAAGAAAGUAAGCAUUGACUAAAGAAGGUAAAACAUGGAUAAACAUAAAACAAGCAAGUUCUUGGAUUCUCUUGUGCUGGGUGACUUUGUGCAUGGGUCUAGUUUUGCUAUUGUCCUGGGUUCAGCAGUAGCAGUCAUUUUUACUCCUUCUUGGUAGCUGGUGCAGUGCUGUGUUUUGACUUUCGGGCUGGGAACCCAAAGGCUCAAAUUAGACUAAGAUCAAAGGCAUCAGGAACAUGUCUGAUCUGAAAUCCUACUUCUGUAAGAGAUUGGAUUAGAUCAUUUUACACUGCUUCCACUGCGAGGUCUCUGAGCCACCUGCAGUGGUGGGUUAUCCCAGCUCUCACCCACUUUUGUCAUUACUCCUGUCAUUAGGUUAGAUUUAAGAAAACAGUUCUUUACUAUGAGUUUGGUGAGGCACUGGCACAGGUUGCCCAAGGAAGUCGUGAAUGCUCCAUCCCUGGCAGUGUUCAAGGCCAGGUUGGGCAGAGUCUUGGGUGACAUGGUUUAGUGUGAGUUGUCCCUGUCUUGGUGAGAGGGUUGGAAAUUGAUGAUCCUAAGGUCCUUUCCAACCCUAACUAUUCUAUGAUUCUAUGAUUACAGGGGAAUUUCUCAUCCAGCGAGGAAAGUGUCUUUAAGUCUCUGAGAUGAUGGCAUGGGCACAAGGAAAUCUCAACGCAAAGCCAAUGCAAUGAAAUUAAGGAGCCUUUAUGGGAAUUGGUUAGUAGCACCAAUGGUUAAUAUUUGUCGUAACAACAACCGUUUUGUUUUUUGUUCUAACAAUGUGAAUUACACAUUAAACAUUAAUACAAGUGAUUGUACUUUUCUUUUGAUCUUCAAGCAUAACCAUUUCAAAUGAGAGUUUAUACAUGAGCAUUGAAACAAAUCCCUGAGUCAUGUGAAUUUACAUUGGUUUUGCUCUGUGGGAAAGAUAUCCCACAUGAGUUACUCAUGUCUGCAAAACAUAACAUACUCAUAAAUCAGAAGGCAAAAAUAAA